rnacentral:sRNA from 1 species
GGGACUUUGAGCGCCUGAAACACCCCCCCACCAUUUUGAAACUUGUCAAAUCUACACAAAAGCAGAGAACAGCACGAGAGGCUCCUGGGAUCCACCACGCGGCUUCCCCUGUUGCUGCCAACCUCUGCGACCCAGCGAGGCACGCACAGCACACACGCAUCCCCUGCGGCGCUGGCCAAGUGCGUGCUGGCCGAGGUCCCAAAGCAGGUGGUGGAGUACUACAGCCACAGAGGCCUGCCCCCGAGAGGCCUGGGCGUCCCUGCCGGAGAAGCCAGCCCAGGCUGCACCUCGUGAAGACGUGGAGGGUAUGGGGAGGGGCAGUGAGGAGUGGGUCCGUACGGCCUCUGUCUCCAACACGCUUGGGGUCUCUUAAGUUCCCUCCGACCUCCCAGAAGCCUCCAGUCCCCACCAGGCCCCACUCCCAGUCCUCCUGGGAUCCUGCUAGCUUGGGCCCCGCUCUGGGGCCCCCAAGGCCGAAGGGUGACAAAAUACAGGCCCCCAUGCCUGGCCCUGCCUG